GUAAGUCAUGACCUUAUUAUUUUAUUUGGGAGGGAGGGAUCAAGUCGAGAAGCCAAAUUUAUACAAAUAAGGAGAGAAAUACAAAUAAGGACGUGAGAUUGGAGGAGUGGUCACACCCCAGUCUUGUUCGGCAGUUGAAGUUUCUUGUUAAUUUGGAUCUCUUGAAAUGAUAGUGGCUAUGCUUGCAGGUAUUUCUGAGACUCCAUUUAGAUUCCUUUAAAUGGAGGUGAAACGUUAAAAUAAAGCAGGACUGUCUCUCAAGAUGAAAAAAAAAAAAAAGAUCUACCGGCUAUUGUCCUCACUGCCUGAUUGACUAGUAGAAAACACAUCUCCAUGGGAACAGAUAAAUGUCUGCUUUUCACGCGGUGAAAAUAACCAGCUCAGCCUGUGCAGCUUCACCAACCUAGCACUUUAUUUGGACGGCUGUAAGCAGCCUCUCCCUUUUCAUGUUCAGCCAAAUUAUCUGCCAGAAUUUCUUUUCAAGUCUAGGGAGGGGAAAAAAAAAGAAUUCCCUCCCCCAUCCCCCCACCGCAUGGAGUUAAUUACUGUAUUUUCAUCUGGGAGGGUGGGAAAAAAUACACGCUGGGCUGAAACAGCACACAAAACAGCGGCUGGCGUAUGGAUCUGCCUGGUGUCUAUUAGCCGUUGGGGAUUUUUUUUAAGGUCUUCUUCAAACUGCAGGCUGUGACCUACCUGGAGGUGGUGAGAGCCAGCAGCAGGUCGCAAUCAGCACUUUCUUCAUGGAAUGGAGCACACAGCACAUGGGAAGGGCCUGGUUCCAGAUACAGUCAUAUUCUAAGAUGCUGGGGCACCUAGUGGUAAAGACCAUGGAGAAGGCUGAGCGCCAAAGAACCGCGGUGCUGGACGAGACUCCUGAGAGCCCCUUGGGCUGCAAGAAGAUCCAACCAGUCCAUCCUAAAGAUCAGUCCUGGGUGUUCAUUGGAAGGACUGAUGCUGAAGCUGAAACUCCAAUACUUUGGCCACCUCGUGUGAAGAGCUGACUCAUUGGAAACGACCCUGAUGCUGGGAAAGAUUGAGGGCAGGAGGAGAAGGGACGACAGAGGAUGAGAUGGUUGGAUGGCAUCAUCGACUCGAUGGACAUGGGCUUGGGUGAACUCCGGGAGUUGGUGAUGGACAGGGAGGCCUGGUGUGCUGCAGUCUACUGGGUCUCGCAUAUCCCCUAGAGAAGGAUAUGGCAACCCACUCCAGUGUUUCUCGCCUGUAAAAUCCCGCGGAAAGAGGAGCCUGGCAGGCUACAGUCCACUGGGUCACACCUGAGUGACUGGGCACACACAGGACAUCAGUGA
ensembl:lncRNA